rnacentral:rRNA from 1 species
GAUGAACGCUGGCGGCGUGCCUAAUACAUGCAAGUCGAGCGAAUGGAUUAAGAGCUUGCUCUUAUGAAGUUAGCGGCGGACGGGUGAGUAACACGUGGGUAACCUGCCCAUAAGACUGGGAUAACUCCGGGAAACCGGGGCUAAUACCGGAUAACAUUUUGAACCGCAUGGUUCGAAAUUGAAAGGCGGCUUCGGCUGUCACUUAUGGAUGGACCCGCGUCGCAUUAGCUAGUUGGUGAGGUAACGGCUCUCCAAGGCAACGAUGCGUAGCCGACCUGAGAGGGCGAUCGGCCACACUGGGACUGAGACACGGCCCAGACUCCUACGGGAGGCAGCAGUAGGGAAUCUUCCGCAAUGGACGAAAGUCUGACGGAGCAACGCCGCGUGAGUGAUGAAGGCUUUCGGGUCGUAAAACUCUGUUGUUAGGGAAGAACAAGCGCUAGUUGAAUAAGCUGGCACCUUGACGGUACCUAACCAGAAAGCCACGGCUAACUACGUGCCAGCCGCCGCGGUAA